GGAUAAAUGACAGAGUGGUUUAAUGUGUUCACCUUGAAAGUGAAAGUGCCUCCCAGGUACCAUAGGUUCGAAUCCUAUUUUAUCCG
rnacentral:tRNA from 3 species